rnacentral:rRNA from 1 species
GAAUUCACUAGUGAUUGGGAAACCGGGGCUAAUACCGGAUGGUUGUUUGAACCGCAUGGUUCAAACAUAAAAGGUGGCUUCGGCUACCACUUACAGAUGGACCCGCGGCGCAUUAGCUAGUUGGUGAGGUAACGGCUCACCAAGGCGACGAUGCGUAGCCGACCUGAGGGGGUGAUCGGCCACACUGGGACUGAGACACGGCCCAGACUCCUACGGGAGGCAGCAGUAGGGAAUCUUCCGCAAUGGACGAAAGUCUGACGGAGCAACGCCGCGUGAGUGAUGAAGGUUUUCGGAUCGUAAAACUCUGUUGUUAGGGAAGAACAAGUACCGUUCGAAUAGGGCGGUACCUUGACGGUACCUAACCAGAAAGCCACGGCUAACUACGUGCCAGCAGCCGCGGUAAUACGUAGGUGGCAAGCGUUGUCCGGAAUUAUUGGGCGUAAAGCGCGCGCAGGCGGUUUCUUAAGUCUGAUGUGAAAGCCCCCGGCUCAACCGGGGAGGGUCAUUGGAAACUGGGGAACUUGAGUGCAGAAGAG